CGAGAGUAUCCGAAUUAACCAGGAAGUGAUUUUUGUUUACUUUUUAAAUGCCAACCUCUGUAAAUAGUAAUUUAUUUUGAGUAAACAUUGAGUGAGAAAUAAAGCCAUAGAAUACAUUCAUACCACUCAAAUUCAGCCAGUCAGAAUGAUGGGAAGGAUUGCAGAACUGAGUUUCACUCUCACCUGACUGAUGCAGAUUCAGUAACCUAAUUGCUCAUGAUGGUUUCUGAGAAAAAAACCCAGCUUGGUGUAAUUUGACAGUAUUUUUCAGUAUUUGACAGUGGUUCUAUCAUGCAACAGUCAUACCAUGAAGUGUCUCACAGAUUCUCUCUCAAUUCCUGCAAUAUCCAAGAUUACAGUGUAGUGCAAAGAGGAUUAAUUUUCUUGCAAUAAGAAGUAUCUGCACUUCCAAAUACCCCUGUACAGCAUGAACAGUUCCUUCAUUUUUUGAGUAAUUAUAGAGUGAAAAUGUUGAAAACAAUGGUUCUAAUGAAGGAUGCCUACUUCUACUUGAAGGAAAUGUGCAUAAAAGACAGGAUUUCUACCAUUUGAGAUCAUAGUAGAUCACAGUAAAUCUUUAUGCAUUCACCAAUCAUUUAAUAUCUUUGCUUUUUCAGCUUAAAUACACGGUUACAAUAUUUUUAUCAAUACUUAAUAUUUUCCAAAAAUGAAUUAUUAAGUAAGUUGUUAAAGGGUUAACAGUCAAAGUAUAUGUUUGUUAUACAUGUGUAUGCAUUGAUACUGAAUAAGAGUGUCACUUUAAACAGUUGCCAUGGUAACUAUAGUCUAGUUUUCUUAAGAAACUGUAAUUGUUGUCUAAAAACCUUUGUAUUUUCAAUGUGAUACUUUUUAGCAUGUCCGCUUCAGUCAAUGAAAUAUUUCUGUUAUUUGUUAAUCAUUUGGUCAUACUUUGUAUACAAUUAUAUUUAUAAUUUAACCUUGAAAAUUGCUGACAAUCUCAUACUUAUAUUGAAAUAUUCAGAAUUGCUAGAUGGGUUGAAGUUCACCUUUAUUACAACUGUCAGGCAAAUCAUGGCAAGAUGUACAUAAUUCUCCUUUUUAACAAAAAGCGAUGUUUAAAGCAUUUUUUGUAUUUUUAUUGAAUGGUUACCAUGGCAACUAAUUUUUUGUUUACCUUUAAUCUUCCUAUUUAUAAUACUAUUAAUUGUAAAAAUGCAACAGUCAAGCAGUGAAUGGAAGAAUGUAAAUGUUCUUUGUCUUUUACCCUUUUCAAGCUCAUUCUUCAAAAUAUAAAGGAAUUUUAAAAUUUCUUAAAAAUGGACGUUUUUUCAUCAUUUUUUUAAAAGUAAAAUAAUUUGCUUAAAACUUUGUUUAGGUUUUGAUAUUUAGGAAUGUGUAUUAAAUUUAUAGAAAAUAAACAAAAUGUGUUGUUUGACAUUAUUUAUUUCAUUUAAAUUCCGAAGUUUUGAAUUUGACCUAUUUUGGCAGAAAAAUUGAUAAAAAUGUAAAAUUAAAAGGGCCAUAAUUCUGUCAAAAAUUGAUGGAUUUUGAAAAAAUGUGCAUAUUUGAGUUUGUAAUGACGUAACCUUUAAAAUGAUAUAUCACUUUAAUAUACCGCAUUAAAUUAAUUUUUUACGUUGU